rnacentral:rRNA from 1 species
ACGGAAGGCAGCGGUGGGGAAUAUUGGGCAAUGGGCGAAAGCCUGACCCAGCAACGCCGCGUGAAGGAAGAAGGUCCUCGGAUUGUAAACUUCUUUUAUGAGGGACGAAGGACGUGACGGUACCUCAUGAAUAAGCUACGGCUAACUACGUGCCAGCAGCCGCGGUAAUACGUAGGUAGCGAGCGUUAUCCGGAUUUACUGGGUGUAAAGGGCGCGUAGGCGGGGAAGCAAGUCAGGUGUGAAAUCUAUGGGCUUAACCCAUAAACUGCACUUGAAACUGUUUUUCUUGAGUGCUGGAGAGGUAGACGGAAUUCCUAGUGUAGCGGUGAAAUGCGUAGAUAUUAGGAAGAACACCAGUGGCGAAGGCGGUCUACUGGACAGUAACUGACGCUGAGGCGCGAAAGCGUGGGGAGCAAACAGGAUUAGAUACCCUGGUA